UUUUGACCUCGGAUCAGGUAGGGAUACCCGCUGAACUUAAGCAUAUCAAUAAGCGGAGGAAAAGAAACCAACAGGGAUUGCCCUAGUAACGGCGAGUGAAGCGGCAACAGCUCAAAUUUGAAAUCUGGCUCUUUUAGAGUCCGAGUUGUAAUUUGCAGAGGGCGCUUUGGCUUUGGCAGCGGUCCAAGUUCCUUGGAACAGGACGUCACAGAGGGUGAGAAUCCCGUACGUGGUCGCUGGCUAUUGCCGUGUAAAGCCCCUUCGACGAGUCGAGUUGUUUGGGAAUGCAGCUCUAAAUGGGAGGUACAUUUCUUCUAAAGCUAAAUAUUGGCCAGAGACCGAUAGCGCACAAGUAGAGUGAUCGAAAGAUGAAAAGCACUUUGGAAAGAGAGUCAAACAGCACGUGAAAUUGUUGAAAGGGAAGCGCUUGCAGCCAGACUUGCUUGCAGUUGCUCAUCCGGGCUUUUGUCCGGUGCACUCUUCUGUAGGCAGGCCAGCAUCAGUUUGGGCGGUAGGAUAAAGGUCUCUGUCACGUACCUCCUCUCGGGGAGGCCUUAUAGGGGAGACGACAUACUACCAGCCUGGACUGAGGUCCGCGCAUCUGCUAGGAUGCUGGCGUAAUGGCUGUAA
rnacentral:rRNA from 1 species